UACGUAGGGGGCUAGCGUUGUCCGGAAUCAUUGGGCGUAAAGCGCGUGUAGGCGGUCCGGUAAGUCCGCUGUGAAAGUCGGGGGCUCAACCCUCGAAUGCCGGUGGAUACUGUCGGGCUAGAGUUCGGAAGAGGCGAGUGGAAUUCCAGGUGUAGCGGUGAAAUGCGUAGAUAUCUGGAGGAAUACCGGUGGCGAAGGCGGCGAUCCUGGACCGG
rnacentral:rRNA from 1 species